AGGUUGCUGCUGGGUGCGACAGGCUGCAUUAUCCCCGGGGCCGAUAAGAAACUCCCGGGAGCUGUCCCUGCCUGGACCCUGGUCCAGGUAUAUGGCGCCCACCUGCUUUUGCAGGCCACGGAGGAAAUCAACGCCACCGGCCCGUGCGGCACCUUC
rnacentral:other from 1 species